rnacentral:lncRNA from 1 species
CCUAUUGUUAUAAGAAUAACAUGGAAAUAGCCCCCUGCAAAUUGGUAUAAACUUAACUCCGAAGGUUCAUCCAUUGAAAACCCCAAGUGUCGGUGGGGCUGGGUUCUUAUUAGAGAGGAUGAAGGAACUGGGUUACUGGUUGCUUCAGGCACUUCCCACACAUCACUUGCAUCAAAACAGCUUUGGGGCACGUAGAGAUGGUUUAAACCUUGCUGUUUCCCUUUACAUUAAAUCUUGUAGUGGAACUUGAUGCCAUGGCAGUCAGUAGCUUCGUUCAGCACAUGGUCAAGUAUGAGUAAGCUGAGGUUGUUAGGCUGUUGAUUAAGAAGUUAAUUAGUUGUUAGCUGGUUAAUAAUCAGUUGUACAGUUGUACUUCAACUAUAAAUACGUGUAUUGAUGCUAGUCAGGAAUAAGACUAAUACCAUUCUAUUUUCUCUAGUUUGUUUUCUUCUUCAGUUGCAUUUGUUCAUACCUUUUGAGUCUUUCAAGCAUGGUAUCAGAGCUGGUGUUCUCAGCAUAAUCAGACGAUCUUAAGCUGUGGAGUCAACAAUGGUUCAGCCUGGUGAAGUUUCAGAUUCGGUGAGUGCAGAUUCUUCAUGAC